rnacentral:lncRNA from 1 species
CGAGGGUGAGAGAUAGAAGCAGACACCGGGUCUCGGUUACCGUUCCCGACAACUAAGAGUCGAGUGUUAGAAGUUCAGUAAUUGGAAAGACAAAAUCGAUCUUUGGAUAAGAUAUACCCACCGAAUGAUGUCAGUACUACUGAAGAUUUUUAAACUACUGAGUAAACAAGCUUCCACCAGUGAAGGGCUCAGAUAUUCGUGGGAAGCCCAUUUGAUAAGCUUAUCUGAAGGUCAGGCAUGGAUCAAAGAAGGUCUCUAUAGAUUGAGAUGGUAUAACAUUAAGCCAAAGAAAUGAAAUUCUACGUUAUCUCUUGGUCUCUGGGUUGGAAGAUGGAUAUGUGGUUCGUUACUAAGCAUAAAAUCAAUGUCAGUUUCACUGCGUCUCCAGCUUGAGUGACGAGUGCAUUGCUGUUGAUCAGUGAUAUUCUCUGAGAAACUAUACACAUCAAUUUUAAUGUAUCGGUUGAGCAAGAUUCUCCUUGAAACUGACUUGGGAAGCUCUGCAUUCAAGAAAUACUUCUUUGGAGGUGAUGGCAUCUUUGAGAAUAUUUAGUGAAAGGAGAAAAUGUCUAGCACAAGACCAAUUGUCUAUCUCAAGAAC